AUGGGUCGGCAGAAAAUUUGGAGGGAUAGGAUCGAUGCCCACAACAGAUUAAUCAGACACUAUUUUGCGGAUAAUCCAGUGUACCCCGAGUCGUACUUCCGGCGCCGAUUUAGGAUGAGCACCAAGUUGUACAGACGCAUUGCAAAGAAACUAGAGAGCCAUGACCAGUUUUUUCAGCAAAGGAGGAAUGUCGCCAGAGAGCUCGGGCAUAGCACCUUUUAAAAGGUGACAACCACUUUGUCUAUGUUGGCAUACGGUAUUCCCGCUGAUCUAGUUGAUGACCACUUGGUCAUGGGCAUAUGUUUUUUUUCUGUAGUGCUUUGUGCUAAGUACCCGUGGAAAUACACUCCUUGGCGUACAAAGAGUUUCAUGUAG
rnacentral:rRNA from 1 species